rnacentral:rRNA from 1 species
GAUGAACGCUGGCGGCGUGCCUAAUACAUGCAAGUCGAGCGAACAGACGAGGAGCUUGCUCCUCUGACGUUAGCGGCGGACGGGUGAGUAACACGUGGAUAACCUACCUAUAAGACUGGGAUAACUUCGGGAAACCGGAGCUAAUACCGGAUAAUAUAUUGAACCGCAUGGUUCAAUAGUGAAAGACGGUUUUGCUGUCACUUAUAGAUGGAUCCGCGCCGCAUUAGCUAGUUGGUAAGGUAACGGCUUACCAAGGCAACGAUGCGUAGCCGACGUGAGAGGGUGAUCGGCCACACUGGAAGUGAGACACGGUCCAGACGCCUACGGGAGGCAGCAGUAGGGAAUCUUCCGCAAUGGGCGAAAGCCUGACGGAGCAACGUCGCGUGAGUGAUGAAAGUCUUCGGAGCGUAAAACUCUGUUAUUAGGGAAGAACAAAUGUGUAAGUAACUAUGCACGUCUUGACGGUACCUAAUCAGAAAGCCACGGCUAACUACGUG